CGUCGAGGCGGUCAUGUUAGUCGUUUGUAAAAUCCGGGAGCUCAACUUCCGGCCCGCAAGCGAAACGGCAUGACUCGAGAGUUGGAGAGGUGCAUGGAACUCACGGUGUAGGGGUGAAAUCCGUUGAUAUCGUGGGAACACCAAAGGCGAAGGCAGUGCACUGGCCAAUUUCUGACGCUCACACACGAAAGCAGGUAGCAACG
rnacentral:rRNA from 1 species